rnacentral:lncRNA from 1 species
CAUAAUUAGUGUACAUUAACAUUCAUCUAGCUACCACCUCCGAAAAUGAUACAUCAUAAGCCGAGCAUUUUUCCAAAUUUGUUGUGGAUAAUAGUUCAAUCCCAAUUUCAUCCACUUGUUUUGAGAAAGCAGGCUUCUUGGGAGUAUUUGUAUUUGUGGUUUCAUUCUUGAGCAUUGAGGAAACUUCCAGCAUUGAAGGUCUAUCGUUUGGAUUCUCCUGGACACACAACAAAGCUAUUUCCAGACAUCUCAUUAAUUUACAAGAGGAAUUUCUAUCAUCUAGGAAUGAAUCCACAAACUCCAUGCCUUUGCCACCUUUCCACAACUCAUAUGCCUGAAAUUAUCAAGUACCAUCUUGUUACAUAAUUUAUACUUCUUAAUUAAGUGCGCAUAUGUGUACUCAGGGUUACUAUAGCCGAAGAAACUUACGUGCUCCAGAAUGCUUAAAUUUUCAUUGAUGCCACAUAACAUUGAAAGCCUCUUUCCACUUAUGAUUUGUAGAAGUAAAACUCCGAAACUAAAAACGUCUGAUUUGGUAGAGUAUACACCUUGUCUGGCGUACUCAGGAGGAAUAUAGCCUCUGCAUUCAAAAUAACCAAGUAUAUAUGAGUAAGGGAUUUUGCAAUUUAAUAAAUUUGUAAAACCCAUUUUAAAUUGUGGUAAAAGUCCAUUCUGCAUUUUAUUAAAGUGCUGAAUUCCUUAUUCGAAACCCAAUAUAUGUAUAACAAACAGAAGCUUGAGUAAAGGAUAUCAUUGAGAUGUAAUAUACUUACAUUGUUCCCACAACUUGUUCUGUAUUCGCUUUGAGACUCUCUUUUGCAAAAAUCCUAGCCAAACCAAAAUCUGAAAUUUUAGGUUUCAUAUCUUCACCUAACAAAAUAUUACUGGCUUUCAAGUCUCGAUGAAUAAUAGUCAGUCUUGAAUAUUCCUGGAGGUAUAAAAGGCCUUGAGUUAUCCCUUCAAUGAUAUGAACACGUUUUUUCCAAUCCAAAAUAAGUCUUCUGAUGGGAUCUACAACAAAUAUAUAGUUUUGGACAAUAAGUGAUAUGCAAAUGAAUUUUAUACACGAUUAAUAUUAACUUGAUUUCAGAACAAACCAAAAAGGUAGCAAUCCAAGCUUUUGUUUGGCAUGUAUUCGUAGACCAGCAUCCGUUCCUCACUGUCAAUGCAAAAACCUAAAACUCUAAUAAGAUUUACAUGUUGGAGUUUUGCAGUAAGCAUAACCUCAUUCUUAAACUCCUCAAAUCCCUGUGCGGAUGAUUUCGAAAGUUUCUUCACUGCUAUCACCUCUCCACAGGGUAAUACACCCUGCAACCCCAAAAAAACCACGUUCAUAUAAAGCUUUCACUAAUUAGAGAAGCUGAGAAAUGUUAGCCAAACAAUAUGCUACCCCCCAAAGUUGAGGCCACCAUUUUAAGUCCUUUAAGUCCCCAUGGACGCAAAAUGUAAAUCUCCUCUCACAGAAUAUGGAUAUGGGUAGAGGUAUCUUCCUAAAAUGUUAGUCGAAGUAGUUAUAUCCCUCUAGUGUGAGGUUAGAGGUCUCAUCUCUAAUAGGCAUAGAUUUUUAAAUUAUAUGUUUUGGGCCUCUGAAUUCUACGACGAGUGUACAAAUUCAAACUUCCGAUAGGAUCCAAAUUGCAACAUUGUAGAUUGUAACAAAUUAAAAUAUAGGUACACACACACACACACACAUAUGUUACCUUGUAAACAGGACCAUAUCCACCCUCCCCAAGCUUAUUUCUAAUUGAAAAUCCCUCGGUGGCCGCCUCAAUAUCAGCCAAACUAUAUACUCUGAGAUUAGGAACAUUUCUGUUAAAGUCUCCAGCUUCUGUUUCAUUAUUUGCUGUCGUGUUUGAUGCUUUAGCAGAAUCCUCUGUUCCUAACAUCAACCAAGAGUACAUAUUAGAUAAAUAAUUGUAUGUCAGCCUCAGAUUUAUGUGUAUAUAUAUGAAUGAAAUUCAUGCUUAAUUAUAAUUGAUAUCUGAAACUUGUUACCUUCUCUUAAAUUGAGCCUUUUCAUCUGGUUGUAUUUAUACGCACAACAGCCUAGAAGGAGAGUCAAAGCUGCCGCUGCAGUAGAAAUGAGUGCAAUGGACAGAUGGCGGUUAUUACUAUAUUCAUCUUUGUCAGCUGAAGCAGAAGUAAUCCUCUCUUUUUGUGCUGGAAAUAUGUAUAGUUCACCAAUUAAUAAUAACUAGCUAGAGAUGCCAUAACAAUCAUUAUUAAUCAGAGAGAACAAUUAUUGCAUAGAUAAAUACCUGCAGCCUGAGAAAGCACCCAAUUAUGAUCAUCAUAAUCAACUCGCCACACAAAGUAACCACGUAACUUCUUCUCCUUAGCAUAUGCAACCUUCAUUCUAACGGCCUCGACAUCAUCAAAACCAAACCAAAUCUUCUCAAUCGAGCAGUAAUUGACCUCAUAAGUUGAAUUGUACAUAACUUGGACAUCAGGACCAUAGGUCUUGAUGUGAUUAUUGAUUUCCUUAUAAGUCACAAGGCCGCUAUCAUGCAAAGCUGGUCCUGCUGCUGCUGCACCAAUUCCAUUGUCUUCAGGUUUCACAAGCCUCCAUGCAUAGCCAUAGAAAGGCAAACACAUAACCAACUUAUCUGCCGGUAAUCCUCUCUCAAUCCAAGCCUUUAAAACCUGAUCGGUACUUCUAGCAAAGCCGCCGCUACUUGAGCCAUAGAGAGCCGCAGGCGGUGCCGUGAAGUUUGUUGACACAGGCUCGUAGUAGCUAGCAGUAACCGCAUGAACCCAAUUCAAGUUUCGUUGUCUCGAAUUCAAAAGAUAUGAAUUCGCUGGUGGUGAAUAAUGAAAUCUUGCGGUCAAGAUCAGCUGGGAUUGCUGGCGACUAGAGUUUUUUGCCUCUAAUUUUGUAGCAGCAAUUCGCCACUCGUCAAAAAGUAAACCAAUAUUGAACAAAUCGGUGCUUGUGUUUGGAGCUGUCCAAGCAAAGUCUAGGCCCUGAAAGCCAUAAAGCCUAGCUAUUCUUAUUGAACAGUCGAUGAAAGAUUUUCUGUGAGAAGAAUUACUCACCAUUGAAGAAUAAAUAGAAUAGUUUGUAUCCAUUCCUUGUCCAAUGGAGAGAAGUAUAGUGAUUGAUGGGUUCUCUUUUUUCAGUGUCUACGAAUUUGGCGAUUUGAUUUUCAUCGGAUGGUAAUGAUAAAGAUAGCUGGUAAGUGGUGGAAUUGAUAUCAGCGUAAGAGCAAAUAAGGUGAGUGAAGAGAUCAUAAUUUAUGCCCGAAAUGGUGGACACUUCGCUUGAAUCCAAGUAACCGACCCUGAUCCACGGUUUUGCUUUCGCGGGAUGAAAUUCUGAAUAGAAUAACAUGUGGAAGAUGAUGCUGAUAAUUAUGGAUGCCAUUUGAGACUUUGUUAGGAAUGGAAAUGGAUCCACACAAGAGAAAUUAAAUAAACACUAGUUUCACAGACCAUUUAAGUUCUUAUGUAAACUAUUAACUUAUAAGUUCAUUUCGUUCCAAAAAAAUCUUAUGUGCUCCGGAUAGGGACACAUACAUUGCAUGUUAAGAUGAUGAUAGGCGAUGCGACCAUUGCCUGAGAACUAAGAUUUUCUUCCAUCGCUUGGGUGACCUUUCACGAAGAAAGAUGAUGUUUUGAUUUACAUUUGGUUAAAUUGAUGACAAAUUUCGGGCUAUAAAUAUCACUCUUGUUUUAUUAAAUAAUUAAAAAAAUUAAUUUUACAUGUACGUUGAAAGUUAAUAUUGCAAUCACCAACAAGUGCGUAGAUCAACUGGCAAGGGGUUGUUCUAUCUUAACCAAGGUUCUCGGUUCGAGACUUGAGAAUGCAGUUGCGUUAAAUACUUGUUGGGAGAGUUUUGUCAUUCUAAUGGUCUUACACGGCUCGAAUCUGAAUUAGAGUUUUGCCACCCUAAUGGUCCUACACGGCUCGAAUCUGAAUUAGUCAAGACCCACUGAAUUAGAGUUUUGCCACCUUAAUAGUUCUACACGGCUCGAAUCUGAAUUAGUCGAGACCCAAUGAUACCAAAUGGCUUAAUAUACCAAAAAAAAAGUUAAUAUUGCAGUCUUUUGAGAUUGUGUUGACGUUUAUUCGGUUCGUUUAUUAUAUAUUCCCGUUUUUCUCCCUGUCUGUUUGCUACAGUGCUCUUAAAAGGAUAGCAUCUUUAAUGCACCUCAGAAGUAGUUAAGAAAGUCUUGAUAAAAAACCAGACAUUUUCUAUCUACUCAAAACGUAGUUAUUGGACUAAUUAAGAUUCUAAUCCCUUUAAUAAAUAUUCAAAAAGGGUUACUGUCACUACUCAGUCCUUGUUGUUUUAUAUAAAUAAAUAAAAAAGAUAUUUAAAGGGGCAUCACAUAAAUCCUUCCUAAUUACAUUUUGUUUCAUUCAAGUUGUUGACUUAAUUUGACUGCCUGGAAAAAUUAGUAAAGAGGUAAAAAUAAAAAAAAGGUAAAUUCUAGUUAUUAGACUAAAUAUAUAGUAUAAAUUUGCAGCAACUAGCAAAAGUUUAGAAUAUGAAAAAUCCUAUUUCAUUUAAAAAACAAUGAAAAUUCUAAUCAUUUUAAAAAAAAAAAACUCUGAAAGUUUGAAAAACUAAGAUUUUAAAGUCCUUUUACAAUAACCAUAAUUAACACAAAUUUCCGAAUUAUUAUUACAUAAUAAAAUUUUACUAAUAGAAAUAAGAAAACAAAACAAAUAGCACUCAAAUCGGAUAUAUAAAAAAAAUCUUGAAAUAAAUAGAAAAAAUAAGAAAAUAACUAAAACUUGCAAAACGACCACGAAAGAAAUGAAAUUUCCGGCCGAACUAAGGGGCCAAUGUGCAUAGUAUUAUUGGACUAGAUUUAUCACACCACAAGCUUCAAAACAAUAUAUUAUAUUUCCUAAAUGGACACAUGUAGGUUAAGUUACUCAAUUGUGUUAGGAGCUGUCCAAGCAAAAUCUAGGCCCUCAAAGCCAUAAAGCCUAGCUAUUCUUAUUGAAGAGUCGAUGAAAGAUUUUCUGUGAGAAGAAUUUCUCACCAUUGAAGAAUAUAUAGAACAGUUUGUAUAUCUUCCUCGUCCAAUGGAGAGAAGUGUAGUGAUUGAUGGGUUCUUUUGUUUCACAGCGUCUGUAAAUUUGGGGAAUAUUUGAUUUCCAUCAAAUGGUGAUGAUAAAGAUAGCUGGUAAGCGGUGGAAUUGAUAUCAGCGUAAGAGCAAAUAAGGUGAGUGAAGAGAUCAUAAUUUAUGCGCGAAAUGGCGGACACUUAGCCUGAAUACAAGUAACCGACCCUGAUCCACGGUUUUGCUUUCGCGGGAUGAAGUUCUGAAUAGAACAACAUGUGGAAGAUGAUGCGGAUAAUUAUGGAUGCCAUUUGAGAGGCUUAAGCUUCUUAAUUACCACUUCGAUGGGAAUGGAAAUGAAUGCACACUAAGAGAAAUUAAAUAAACACAAGUUUCACAGUUCAUUAAGUUCUCAUGUGUACUACACAUGCAUUGCAUGUUAAGAUGAUGAUAGGCGAUGCGACCAUUGCCUAAGAACUAAGAUUUUCUUCUAUCGCCUGUGUGACUUUUCAUGAAGAAAAAUGAUGUUUUGAUUGACAUUUGGUUAAACUGAUGACAUAUUUCGGGCUACAAAUAUCAGUAUUGUUUUAUUAAAUAAUAAAAAUAAUAAUUUUACGUGCAUGUUGAAGGUAAUAUUGCAGUCUUUUGAGCCUGUGUUGAAUUUCAUUCGUGUGCGUUCAUUUAUUAUCCAUCCCCUUUUUUCUCUGUGAGUCUGCUAGUUGUAGUCAUCUUAAAAGGAUAACAUGUUUAAUGCAUGUAAAUGCACCUCAGAAGUAGUUAAGAAAGACUUGAUCAAACCAGAUAAUUUUCCUCUUAACACAGAAGUAGUUAUCGGACUAAUUAAGAUUCUAAUCCAUUUAAGAAAUAUUCAAAAAAGGUUAUUGUCACUACUUUAGUCCUUGUUGUUUUAUUAAAGAAAGAAAGAAAAAAAGAAUAUAUUUAAAGAAGCAUCACAUAAAUCCUUCCUAAUUAUUACAUUUUGUUUCAUUCAAGUUCUUGACUUAUUUGACUGCUUGGAAAAAUUAGUAAAAAGGUAACAAUUAAAAAAAAUGUAAAUUCUAGUUAUUAGACUAAAUAUAUAUAAAUUUGCAACAAAUAGCAAAAGUUUAGAAUAUGAAAAACCCUAUUUUGUUUACGAAAUAAAGAAAAUUCUAAUCAUUUUCAAAAAUAAAAAUCUCUAAAAGUUUGAAAACUAAGAUUUUAAGGUCCUUCUAGACCAACCAUAAAUAACAUGAAUUUACCAAAUUAAGCAAACUCGAAUUAUUAUUAUUACACAAUAAAAUUUUACUAAUGGAAAUAAGAAAACAAAAUAAAUAACACUCAAAUUCGAUAUCUAAAAAAUAAAGAUAAAAAUCAUGAAAGCAAUAGAAUAAAAUAAAAUAACUAAAACUUGCAAAAUGACCAUGAAAGAAAUAAUUUUUUUUGCUAAACCAAGAGGCCGAUACGUAUAGCCCUAUUGUACUAGAUUCAUCUCGCUGCAAGUUUCAAAACAAUAUAUUAUAUGUUUUAAACGAACUCUUAUAAAUUAAAUUAUGACCUUAAAAAAAAUCCUACUCAUCUUACAUAAACAUCCUAUGUCACUAUAUAGUUAUACAAUAAUAAUAUAAUCCAAACACUCAUGAAGCAUAACUCAUGCACCCCCACUAAUAACCGUGAAAUUUAAUCACAUUUUACAAGAGAGAGGAAUGUUCUCAUUUAUUGGGGAUUAAACCAAAUAGUGUAUCUUCGAUUUUCUGCUAGGUUGUGUCAGGUUGGGCUUUUCAGAAAUCCUUUGACGAAAAGUCAUUGUCUUCAACAGCCAAAUCUUGGGCCAGUGGGCAAUUAUGGAAGUCCAUUGGAUGCAUUGGACCAAACUAAAAGUCCAAAUUUUUUUUUUUAUUCUUACAAAAACAAAUUAUAUGUAUAUAUUCUCUUCAACAACCUAAAACUGGGCCAAUGGGCAAUUAUGAAAGUCCAUUGGAUGUAUUGCACCAAACUAAAAGUCCAUUUUUUUAUUACUACAAUAUAUAUAUAUAUAUAGAGACAAAUAUUUUAAUUUAGAAUUUUAAAGUGCGGGAUAGUCCGGAAUAUGCAGUUUUAAAGACUUAAAACUAUAAGUUUUUAAAACCAUAUAAUUUUAAGUUUUUUUCAAUUUUUUUCGUAUUUUAAAAUUUCAGACCAAAAAACUACAAUAUAUAUAUAUAUAUCAAUAAAUGAAAUGACACAAUACAGUUGGCUUGCCGUUGCAAAGCCUCUUUGUUUGUUAUUAUUUAUUGGCUUAUUGCAAUAAAGACUAAAGAGAGCUUUGAGCCAUGCAGCAUGGGAAGCUCCAUUAAAAAAUAAAAGAAUUUAAAGCUUCAAGGAUACAUAAAGUGUGCCCACCCAAUUAAAUUUUUCUUUGAAAAGAGAAAAAAAAAAAAAAAAGCUGCAAUUGCAAUGACUUGAAUUUAUCAUCAAUUCUGGCUUAAUUUGCCCCCGUCAUUUUUUCAAGGAGAAUGCCCAACUCAAUUGUGACGGCUGCUGCUUCAAUUUUAAUUUUAUUUUUCUCAAGAAUAGUCAUUUUCAUCCACCAUAUUCCUGCAUCCUGAUGCGUCCUUAUUGCUUAUAUUAUUAUAGACCACUUUUGGAAGCAUAACAAUUUUUGCACACAUGGUCUCCAUCUUGCGGACCCAAAUGUUGAUGAUAUACUUGCAUGCUGCAAAAUAAGCCCUUUUAAUAACUUAUCAUCUGGUAAAUGAUAGUUUAUUUAUUUAUUACAUAACAAAUAUGUUAUGCCAUAUGCCACCUAUUAGUGAAAGAUGUUUAAAUAACUACUCUUGUAGUAAACUCCUGAAUGAUGGCAAGUUAGAUUCAGACUUAAUGCACUAACUUCGAUAUUAUUAUUUUUUUUAACAUGGUAAUUAUUUUCUUCUCGCUAGGAAGUUGCAAUGAUUCAUAAUAAGGGAGCAUUUUGCUUUAAUACAAUCCUUAAUAGAAGAUUUUCUAGAGAUGUUUAUUAUUAUUAUUAUUAUUAAUCCCGCGUUGGUCAGGAUUUGAUUACUAUAAUAUUGACGAUUCGAUUUCUAACAAUUUUGUUUAUUAUAAAAUUAAAGCAAGUGAGUAGUCAUCUAGAAAAUCAUAAUCUCUUUAAAGGCAUCAAAAGGCAAUGGCAAUGUAAAGUGAAUGUGAAUCUACUAGUAACAUGUUUACACGUGUAUUAAUCUUAAAAUAUUUAAAUACAUAAACCCAAGAUUCUUGGUUCCAAUAUGAGCUUUAUAGUUAAGGAGACCCACUUCGUAUGAUGGACUUGUGAGUUGUGAGAGAAAUCUCUAGAAUUUAAUUAUGCCGAAAGAAUCUUAAUCAAAUCGUAUCAUAAAAAAAAAAAAAAAAAUUCCAAAUUUUGUUUUCUUCUUUUGACAAAAACCCUCGUUCAAAAUGAUUCAUAUAAAUUUAUCAAUAAAAGAUUUUGAAUCAAUUAGAAAAUGGAAUUGUCAUGCGCACAUCUUUUGCUCGAUCGUUCAGUCCUUAAUCAUGUUUUAAUUAUAACCCAAACACGACAAUGACAUGUACGAUCUACAUAAAUCCUCGAUAUUAAUUGUCAAUUGGUUCUGCGAAUUCAAUGUGCAAAGUCUCACAAGUCAUAAUAAAUUUAGGAAUGAAAAGUACGAGCGGGUAGCAAGAAACCAUCACUCAAUUCCAAUUGAUAUGUACACUUCAUUCAUUUUGUCUUUUACAUAAAUGGAAAAACUAAAAAGCGUAACAAUUAUUAAACACAUGCCCACUGCCCUGCUACCCGGCCAAAGAGGGGCCGUUGCUCUCUUACAAUGGUUCAAUGAAGGCAUUCAUUGAAGGGUGCUUCGACGGGAGCGGUAUUAAGAUGAGUGAUCACUUGAAAAAUCUUUGAAUUGCACCCCUCCUUUUAAACCAACGAGCUCGUGGAUCAGUUGGUAUAGAGUUGUUUUACUAUAACUAAAGUUCUUGGUUUAAGAUUUGAAAAUACAGUUACGUUAAAAUAUUUUUUAAGAGAAUUUUACUGUUCUAGUAGUCAUAUUCGAUUCGAAUUUGGAUUAGUCAGAAUUUAAUAUAAUUUUUUAUUAACAGAUGAUUUAAUACACAAAAAAAAUAAAGGGAUUCAUCUCUCAAUUAUUAAUGAAAAAAAAAUGCGGGAUGUGUAUUUCCGUGUAAAUAAGAACAAUAAUAAUAAUACAACACAUCCCCAUCAAAAACCUAGCUGAUGCUGAUGCUGAUGCUGAUGCUUCUGCAGAUUCUGAUUCCCCCUCCCUUUUAGCCAAGGAAGCAGAUGAUGACAGCAUCACAGUGCAGAAAAGAAAGAAAGAAAGAAUAUCAUUAUACUCCCACAUCUUCUUGAACGUUGUGCCCUCUACAUGCACAUAUGCAUGUACAUAUUAUUAUCAUAUUGUAGUAAGUAAUGUUUUAGCUUUCAACAUAAACAACAUUGUGAUUAAUCAUAAUGCCACAUUAUACAGUUCAAAUAUGAAAGGUUAUGAAAUUAACUUCUAUAUACAAAUGCGUUACAUAAAGUGCGCGACGUCGUUCCUUUUAAUAUAUAUUGUAAAUUAAUGAAUAAUCAUUCGUAAAAAAAAAAAAAAGUAUUGUCCGUUAGUGAAUUAUAUAUACAAGCAGAGCCUCUACAAAUUAACAGGGUGGGACUAUAUAAAAUUUAUUAAUUAAAAGAGAAAUUAAAUAAUCAAUAAUUUAUAUAAUUUAUUAGUUUACAGAAUUAUUUAUAAUUCAAUUAACANNNNNNNNNNNNNNNNNNNNNNNNNNNNNNNNNNNNNNNNNNNNNNNNNNNNNNNNNNNNNNNNNNNNNNNNNNNNNNNNNNNNNNNNNNNNNNNNNNNNCAGAGCCUCUACAAAUUAACAGGGUGGGACUAUAUAAAAUUUAUUAAUUAAAAGAGAAAUUAAAUAAUCAAUAAUUUAUUAAUUUAUUAGUUUACAGAAUUAUUUAUAAUUCAAUUAACAUACAUCAACAAUACUUCAUAAUUUCUUAUUACAAUUUGAAAAGUCAACCGCAGGACUUCUAGGUGUUAAGAAAAAUAAGAGAUUGAGGUCCAAUUAGAUUUAAAUUUUAAGAAAAGAACAGGUAACAAUAUAAUCAUACUUUAUGUAAAUAAGUGAUAAUAGAGUCAUAUUUUAUUCAAUUGAUGGCGAUUUUAUAGCAUGAUUACCUAAAUUUUGACGAAAUAAAUGAACAUUUGUUUGUACCUUGCAGGUAUGUGUCCGUUUAAUAAUAGUAGAAUGUACUUUUUUUCUUUUUUCCUUCUUACGACAAAAGGUUAAGUAGAUUUUGAGGUCCAGUCGUAAAGAGACAACUUGGGUACGUGUGUUUUUUGUAAUGUGUGCAAUUGCUGGCUUUUCCGAUGAUUUUGAUUUGGGAUUGCGUUGUAUAAUUUGCACAAUCAUCUCCUUCACCUUUGGAUUCUGUAUCUCUCUAUUUUGUGCUCUUUCUCUCUGAAUGGUAGCCACAUAUACGACUCUCUUUUCCCUGAAUACAUGAAAUAGGCAUUAGUUAUUUUACAUGAUCAUGUAAGUUACAUAAUUCUUUUAUAGUUAUUAAAUAAAAAUUUAAAAAAUAUAAAAAUAAUAUUAUUUUAUUAUUUUAUAUUUUCACAACUGUUGAAUUUUCAUCAAACGAUUAUGAAAAAAUCAUAUAUUUUAUAUGAUUACCCUUUUUUUAUGAUAACAAUCUCUCGUAAAAUAAUUGAUCACCCUUUUUUUUUAUGAAAAAUUGAUAUCCUUGCUUACACACAUGACAUAUUCUCCUUGGAAGUAAAGAAAAAAUUUCCAUUAUUCUGCAUUGUGCGUCACAGUCCUGACAGCGUUUUAGGCUCUGUAAAUAGCAAGAAAAUAACUUGUUUUCUUAUUUCCUUUUACUAAUUGACAAAAUGAUGAGAAAAAAAAAUGAAAAAUAAGGAAAAAAAAGUUUCUAUUAUAACAAGAAAAUAAAGAUUAAAGUAAAAUACCAUGAUACGUAGAAUUCUCUAAAACGAUAUCUAAAUUGAAAAGUGUAAUAAAUAAUUCGGGGAAGCUUGAAAAAUGUAACAACAAAAUUUGUGACAAAUAAGAAUAAAAAUAAAAGCUUAUUGGAUGGAGCCAAUAAAGUUUAGAAAGUUUUUAUUUCGCUUAAGUUUAUAAUUUAGAGUCACAAGCAACAAGUUCGUAAACAUCAUGAAUUUUUUUAGGAUUGCAAUAAAAAUUGUGAUUGAUAACAACAAAUUUACAAUUAAUAAUUGAUAACAGACAAUGGUUACGUGGGUAUUUUCCAAUUUACGGAGCCUCAAGGGCCAAGGUUGACCUAAUAUUGCCAUAUAAAAAUAUUUUUUUAAAAGAAAAUAAAAUAUAUGAUCUAAAAGAAUGUGUACCAUGAUAUAAUUGAUAAAAUUUUCAUUCUUUCAAGUUCUAAGAGAGUCUAAGAGAAACGUGAAAGGCUUAAAGUGCAUAAUAAUAAUAAUAAAAGGAGAAAUUUUAGAAUACUUCAGAUAUAUUACAACCACCACUUUAAUACAACCACUAUAUUACAACCAAUAUUACAACCACAUAUAUCAUGUCAUUAUUUGUUUGUUGUAUGGCUGACAUGGUACAUCAGAUAUAUUUUAAAAUUUCUCUAAUAAAAGAGACAUGUGAAAGCGAGAGCAAUAAAAAAAAUAAAAUAAAACCUCUAAAUCGGAAACUUUUAAAGAAUAGUGAUGGUUGUCGAAGCCAACAAAAAUAAAUACCUACUCUAAAUAAAUUGUGUAUAGUGAUUGAGCAGGAUCGUGUCCACAUAGAUAGGUAAUUAUUUAAAUCUUUUUAAAACGUAAAACAUAAAAUGAGGGUUUUGUUGACAAAAUAACAAUAAAAUGAGGGUUUUGAUGGGGAUGUGGGGUCCGCCUAUGUUACCACUGUGGUAAGGUACCACACUUUUUGUCUCCAUCCUAAAUUGCCGUUGGAUGUAAACUGAAUGAAUCUAACGGUCGAAAAAGAAAAAUGGGUAAAGGCCUAUUGCCGGUUGUUGAAAGAUAAUUUAAUAAUUAAACUGUGGUAAAAAAAUGUUAAAUAAGCGUCCACCAGAGGCCUUCAUCAAAAGAUUUUUCACACCCCAAUAAGGAAUUAAGAUCAUCAAAAUCGUUUCCUCCCCCAGAAAAUCCGAUAAUUGAAUUCUUUUUCACCCCCAGAAAUGACGAUCAAUUUCCCCUAGAAAUUGCUAUUGUGAAGUUUAAAGUUUUGGUAUCUCCCGAUAAAGGCAGAAACGAUGCAGGUAAAAUUCACGGCGGAUACAUGACAACGGGAACCAACUGGAAAAGAUAUUGGGUGGUUGUGGAAGUUUAGCAAUUAGACACAUCAAUUUGCCUUAGAACAGAGUCAAUUUCUCACGUGCACUUGAUCUAUUGUUGUGCCGCUGGAACGGAGGCAGCAGGUAAUUAAAAAGAAAAAAAAUGUUUAUUUUUGUUUGCAACAGUAUGGCAAUGGUAAUUUGCUUAGGAGUGUCGGUCGUGUUUAUUUGUUAGAAUAAGUGAAGGCGAGAUUAGUAACAAGUACUGCUUGUUUAAUUUGAUUGCAAUAAGCACUACGUUGAAGGAGCGAGCGAGAGGGAAAUAAUUCCUUGGAGAAGAUAUUGUAGAAUGAUUGGGCUAUUAUCUUGCAAUCAACUGUGAAGGUACAUAUUUCUUUCUUUUUGUAAUGGUUAAAUGUAACCAUAUCGGUGAUUCAAUUAACCUUGCUUGGUUAUUAUUUUUAUUUUGUUUUGUUUUUUGUGUUAUCUGCUGCUGGUGGCCAAUUAUAUAUGGAUGACAUUGGGGUUAUGAAUUGUUAAUUUAGUUUUGUGAAUGGGGUGCACGUAGCUGAGGAAAAAAAUGAGUUGCUUGGCUAUAAAAGCAAGCAUGUUCAUGCGCUUUGGGAAUGUACCCCCUUGAAAUGCUUUGUAUACUUGGUAUAAUAGGCUAUAUAUCUGUUGCAGAAAAUGAAUAAAUUUUCAUGUUGACCAUGUUCUUUAUGGGCCAUGAGUUGAUGUUCAUGAUUGUUUUAUAUUGUAGGACUGCUCAGUGGGGUUCUGUUAAGAGAAGGUCAGGCUCUACCAGGUAGUCACCUUAUGGCUCAACAUUUUUUUCAUAAUGUUCCCAUCACAUGAGUCUGUUUGGACAAGUUCUGCCUGUUCAACAUGUAGUGUCUCCGAAGUCUAUCUUACUGUUUGUGUGUGAGGUGUUGCCCUCUCCAUUAGUAGCAAGGAGCCAAGGACAUGGCUGUUUGCAGGUGUUCUUAAAUUAAGCAUGCAUUUAGAACAUGUAAAAUAGAGUGCCUCUCUCAUGGCAUGCAGAGGAAAACACCCAUGAGAAGAAUUUAGCAGUAAACAUAUUAUAAAGGGCAUCUGAUUUUGUUCUUGGAUGAUGAUAUGGUUCUCAGCUGUUUUUAUGAUUAUAUUCAUAAUAGUCUUAAUUCAUUUACAGUAUCCCAUUUUGUCUUCAAAAUGCUUAGAAAGUUUUAUCUUUUGAAGCCUUAAUUGCUUCCUGAUUUGAUGUGUAUACAUACUCCUGGAAUUAACGAACAUUCAGGGCAAGGAUCCUUGACAAUCUCAGGAGCACAACAUAUGGAUUUAGUCCAAGAGUUAGAUACUGUAACCAGGUCCUGCGUGGCUGGACAAUGUGUUGAAAACUUGCACAAUAACAUGGAGAUUGAGGUGAUCACUGAUAUGAAAAGUUUAAUUUUCAUCGAGUUACUUGUUUAAUUUCUUUAACUUUUAUAUUAAUUUUUAGUUACGUUUUAAUUGCACCAACUUCCAAUGAAUUUAAGGAACAAAUUUUGUAGGAGUCGAUGCUACGGCAGAAGCAUUGUGAACCGAUUAAAAAUUUGCCAGCCAUUACUAUUUGUGACCGAAAGUGCUGUUCUUUUGUCAAUCAAGAGUUGCCAUUUAUUAAAAUAUGUCCUGAAAGAGGACGUUAUCGGGUUGGACCAUUUCUUAUGCCUAGCCCUUUUGGUAUUGAAGAGGAAAGUUUGAUUAACUUCUGCAUGGAUGAUGAUCUAAAAAAAGGGUAAGAUUAAUUUGAUAUUGUUAAAGUAAUACAGUUAUGUGCAUUAAUUAAUAUGAACAAUAAUUUCGAGAUUGAAAUACAUACAAUUCUUACUUGUUGAUCGAUUCUGUGGAUGUAUUGAAAGAAACUUCAUAAAUGAUGGUAUUUCUGUGGCAGGGAGAUGCUUUUCCAAACUAACUUCUAUGGGAUUACUAGGAAUGAUAUCAUGUCGCUGUCUCCCAGAAGUAUAAUCAAUAUGAAGGUACAAUCGUAACUUCUAUUAAAACUUGUAUGUCCGGCAAUAUUAUAUAUCGACAGCUUGGCCACUUUAAAUAUAGAGGCAUAUUGUAUUUUUGACUUUGGUAUUUCAAUAAUUAACUUCAUAUGUGCUGUCGAGAAGACAUAAACAUUUAAAUUUCAGGUUGUGUCAGCUGUAUCGGAAUUGCUAUCUGCUCAAACAACUGUAAACGUUGGACAAAGUAAAUUCAACCUUUUUCUGCCUGCUUAUAACACUGUAAGCAAUAUAUUUUAUAAUAUGGCGUUGAUCUUUUGUGUUUAGAAUAGGUUAAAAUACAAGUUGGUGUGUGCUGCACUGUGGUGUAUUUGUUUAAGUGCAAAUGUUGGUGUAUAAAUAUAUCUUUAUCAUUGUAUUUACAAGUUGAGAUGAAACUUGAUUUUGUCAAAUAUGUGGCAUGGUCAAUGUUUGUACUGGAUAGAAGUUUCGGUUGCCAUGUGAUGACACAAACAACCAUUAUGUCAUUUCAGUUGCAGGAUCAUGUUGGUGGCGAGUACAGAGACGCAAGUGCUGCUGUUGGAAAGUUUAUACCCUCUGAUUUGUACGCAAAGAAUAUUCGUUCUUGGGAAAAAGUAAGUGAAAGCAUAUAAUGGUUUUACAAAAGCUAUGUUAAUAUAAACCUUCGUCAUGAAGUAAUUUUUUUUUUUUUUUGUGGCAAUGCAUCAUGCGUUAUAGAUUUUUAUCCCUGUCAAUUGUGGUCAUGGAUGCUGGUACAUGUUGGUUCUAGUAAUUUCUGAAAUGCGAGUAGAGAUAUUGGACCCGCUUCCUACUUCAAUGUGUAUGCAUUAUAAUAUUGCAAUAUGUAAACGACUGGUACGUAUUCUGUGUUAAUUAUUUCAUCAAAUGACUACUAACUUUAUUUAAAAUAGUACACAAGUAAACUUGUUGUCUUGAAAUUUUUGAUGAGGCGAGGUCACGUUGUUUUGGUUUUCUUUAAACUUUUUCACCUAUUGUCUGUUAUUUUACAGCUAAGAUCAAUUGAGAUCAUGUUGGAUCAUGGCGGUUCAAAUGUUAACUCUAGUAGUUUAAAGUUGAUGGAUUUUUCGGUUGACUAUACCCGACAGCCUUGCAUAUGCAGUGAAUAUGAUUGUGCACUGUAUAUAAUUCUGAUGAUGGAGAGGCAUAAUAUGAGGUCAACCCUUAAUGACGCAGAGGUUUAGUGAUUUGAUGUUACCCACAAGAACACAUGUAUCUAAUAAACUUUUUAUUUCACUUGGCAUUGAAACCUUGGGAUAACCUUCUAUUUAAGCUGUGUGUACAUUGUUUUUCCUGAUCAGUUCCAGUCGGAUGCCGAAAGAGCACGAAUUGUCAUCAAACUCAUCACGUGUAGUUUCAACUUUUUGAAGGAUAAGGUUCGCUCAAGUGCUGAGAUGCAUCAAAGGCGAAUCGAUGUGAAAAAAAUGAGAGUUUACUAAAAUUUGAGAAACUGUUUAUAUAAGUAUAUGUAUAAACGAUCGUUCUGAUUGUUCUGAAUUAUGUGGACUCACUCAUUAUUUAUAUGAGAGCGUUAUUAAUUACAUGUAAUUUAGAAAUUCGUAUACAAAUAUUAUCAACCGUAUUUCAUUGUUUUUGUUAAAUUCCCUAUAGGUAAGUAUUUGAUGGGUGCAGGUAAGGUGCGCCUCACAACUUCAACCACUACAUAAUAGAUGCCUACUGACCGCCUUUUGGCACGUCAAUUGUCCUACGGUGACAACUGAUGUACAUAUGGAUGGGCCCACAUAGGCAAUUACUGUUACAAACCGUUGUGAAAGCAUAGGAAUGCGGCACAAGUAGUCAUGGAUUAGGUAAUAAAUAAUUAGGGUGAGAUACGGGAGCACUCCAUCAAGAAAUUUCAAGUGUGACAUGCAUGAUUACAAGGAUAUCUGCAUUUUUUAAUGGGGAAAAAUAAAGUGAAGUAAAUUAUUCAUGCGGAUGUGGGCUGAAUAGUUCUGAAAUAUAGGUUGAGUCCAUGGGUAAGUGCAAUAAUAACGACUAUAACAUUCCCAAAAUUUUAUAUUAAUAACAGCUUAAAAUUUUGCAAUAUAAUAUUUUCUGUUAUAUACAUCUAAUCAUGGGCCACAUAUAGUAUUACAAGGAACAGAUUAAAUAGGUUAGGUAAUAGUAAUAUUUGACAUUAUAGGAAUACUAAUUAUAAGAACGAAAACGAAUUAAAAGUUGUAUGAUUACUUGUAUAAUAUAAUAUGUUUUAAUUUCUUAAUUUGUUAUAAUAUAAUUGUAGAAAUAAAAUCAAAAUAUGUUUUAGGCAUAUGUGAGGGCAUUGUGGCGUCUCCUUCGUUGUUUAUAGAGAGCAAAAUGGUGAAUCCUAAGAAUCAGAGACUGAAAAUAGCGCAGAAAUGUCGAGUUGUACAUAGAUGGCAACCAUAACCUUACAUACAUGUAAAGGAUAAUCAACAGAACAUAUUGGCAUAUCAUUAAUUGAAAGUAUAAUGUUGAUAUACAUUAAUUAGUUGAAUUUCCCUUUAUAUAUAUACACCCACUACAAGAAAUACAAGGUGUUGUGGUUGGUAAAUAUUGACGGAACAAGUGGAAUGCCAUUGACUAAUGAUUGAACAUGGAGGGAAUUGGCUUGCCCUAUUUACAUAUCCACUAAGUUUAACAAUUCAUCCAAUUACUAUAUCUUCUUCGAAAGAAUGUUAUUAAAAUUAGUGUUAUUUUUAAAAUAUAAAACCAAUAUCAAUAUUUGAUUGAGUGCCAUUAGUAUCUUGUAUAAUGGAAAUUUGUUGACAGCUCUUGAAUCCCUGCAUAUCAAUACAUAUAGACUAGAGUUAGGAUGAAAUUCGGUAUACAAAACUAAAAUACAAGUCAUUGCAUGAACAAAUAAAAACAAGAAAAUAAACUAACCUAAGAAAUUUUUCAUUUCACGGCAAGUAUUGAAUUAAUCUCAGCAUUAUGUUUUUGCAUUACUGACAUGCUGCAGUUAAAAUCCAUGCCAAAUGGGUUUAAUGCCGGUAUGUUUACAAAUUGGAAAACCGCACAAGGGAAUUGAGAAGAUUACAAGACUUCAUUGAGAAGAUUAGACCAACUUUCGCAUGCUACCUUGGAAGAGAGGAGAUGAAAAGAUGACGAGAAUUGAGAAGAUUACAAGAUGAAUGGGUUGUACACAGAAUGGAAAGCGUGGAGUAGAAGUGAAACGGUUAUUGUAUAUAAUGAGUACAGAAAAUAAUUUAGCCUAAUAUAGAAGAAUUAACCAUGAAAAGUAUUACAAUUUACCUAAUAAAGAUAACCGAGAUGGCUGAUAAUAUAUCUUUUUAAACAAUUAGAUGAUAUCAAUAUUCGGAAAAAAUUUGAAGAUUAGAAUGGGUAAGAAUAAUCCCUAAAAAUAAAUAAAUUUUUAAUGUUUUAACUAAGUAUUCAAAUUAAACUGGUAAUUAAUAAAACCAUUGAUUCUGUUGUGUAGUUUACUGGAGUGACAACCGACAGCAUCCGAGACUUUCAAUUGUCCCAAACGGUUUGUUUUGGGCUUGGAGAGAUAGUUGUAGUGUUGGCCCCUUAAACGUUGAUUCAACAGUACUAUCAGUUAAAACAAUUUAUUAACCAAUCGAUGCAUAUGGAGAUAUAACUGUCGACCAAGCAAUCUAAACGACCUAUCAUGCUGUACUCGGAACAAGGGGCUUUAAUAUUAAAAUGGAAAUGGGAUUGGUGAAGGAAGCUUCAUAGACUAUUCUAUUUUCUGUAAAAUUGACAUUGACAAGGCUCAUAUGACACCGGAAACAAAGAUUUUGUGUGCACCCGCUGCAUACACAAAAAUAUUUCGCGCCAAAUCAAAUAAUGGUCAACGGACACACUUUAAGCGCGCAAUAAUGAUGAGCAAGGUGGAGAGGAAGUUUCCACCUUGAUCACCCAACUCCAACGCGAAUAUCAAAAAGCAAAGCAUAAAGGGGACAGCACAGUUUAAAUCGCUUAACCCUCUAAACCAUCUUGUUCAAAAUAACGCAGUACUCAGACCAGACAGCAAUCAAACUGUGUCCAGUGAAGAUUCAAGUUAUUGAACGAGGUAAUAGGCUCAAACUUUUGUUUUAAUAUCUGUGCCUUUUGGGAUAUAAUGAAAGCAGUGAAUCAUAUAGGAACUUUAUAAUGCCAAAAUUUUUUAAUUUACUAACAUAAUGAAAAUGUUCAGUAGUUGUAAAAUGUGUUAUCAAGUGCCGCGAUUACACUGACGCAACGUUGUUUGCUGUUCCGACGUUAGCAAUAAAUUUUACGAGCUUUAAUCGUAUCACUCAUGUAACAUUGUGGCACAACCAUUAUAAGUUAACAUCUGUUGGCCAUUAUUCCACAAUGAACAUGAACACAGAUGAAUUUAUUUAUUUUUCCUCGUUCAUGUUCAUUGACAGGAUGUAAUUUGAUAUAUUCUCUAUUUGGUAUUGAUUGUAUGCAAAAUAUGUUUUAUACAAAUGAAACGAACAGGGUGUGAUAUACAGACAAGGAUGGAAGAGGAUAAAGAAUCUGGUGUCGUACAGAGGUCAAGGCAAAUGAGACAGAACUAUAGUGGUCCUACCAACCAAGCUAACAAAACCAAUUGUUCUCCAGAAUAUAUUCGUAGCCGCAGAACUGGAAAUAGACGGGCACGCAAUUUAAAUAGUGAUAGUGGCCAAGCAGAGCUUUCCUUCAAGAACAAACGUGGAAGGAUGAAGGGAAAGAUUGCGAGAGAGCUAUUUCCUGACAGGAAAGAAAGUUACGAAGAAUGCAUGGGUGAAGGACCAACAAGAAUGGUGCGUGAUGCCGUGCAUUGGUCAAAAGGGUGGUUGACGGAUGAUGAAGAAGAACAACUGCAAGACAAAAACAACGACGAAGACCAAUUAGAAGGAUACUCAUCAGAAAUUGACAAGGGUAGUUUGUAUAAACUGAGAGAUGCCGAAACAUCUGAAGAUGUGGGUGACUGGGUCAAAUUUGAUGACACUCCGAGGCAUAAGAUGGUCUUGUAUCAAGGGCAGAGAUUCAGAGAUGUCGGUGAAUUUAGAAAGGCAGUUCAAGUUUUUGCAGUUCGUGAGGGGUUUAAGUUGUGCGUAAUGGAAAAUAGGAGUCACGUCGUAUGCUAUGAGUGUUCCGAUCUUCGCUGCGACUGGGUAAUACAAGCAGGGCGAGUUAGUGACGGAACGACAUUUAUUGUAACAGAUUUCAUGCCACAACAUACAUGCAUUCGACCUCCCCUAAAAUUCCAGCCUCAAUCCAAGUGGAUUUCAGCAAUUUAUCUUCAUAGAUGGAAAUUGCAACCAAAGGUUAGUACAGUAGAGAUAAGGGAUGAGAUUGAAGCAACCUAUGGGGUAGUUUGCCCUGAAGGGAAACUGUUGUCUGCAGCAAACAGAGCAAAGCAUAUUUUGGGCAUGGACCAUUAUGAUGGUUAUGCAAAGUUGAAUCAGUUAAAAAAAGAAAUGGAGAGGAUAGAUAGCCAUAACAUUGUACUGUUGGAGACUGAUGGGGAUGAAAAUGGAGAGGGAAAAAGAUUGAACAAGAUGUUUGUAUGCUGGGAACGGACUUCUUAUGCAUUCAAGUAUCAUUGCCGAGGUAUACUGGCUGUUGAUGGUUGGAAAAUGAAUAACCCGUAUAAAAGUGUGAUGCUAGUGGCAGCUGGACUUGAUGGGAACAAUGGGAUAUUACCUGUUGCAUUUUGCGAAGUUGACGUCGAAGACUUGGAAUCAUGGGUGUAUUUUUUAAAAAAUAUAAACAAUGCCUUGCGUUUGGAGAAUGGUAAAGGUAUAUGCAUUUUGGGUGACGGAGAUAAUGGGAUUGAUUACGCUGUUGAAGAGUUCCUUCCUGAAGCUGCAUACAGACAGUGCUGCCACAAGGUUUUCACUGAAAUGGUUAAGAGAUUCCCUGCAGCGCCAGUGCAACACUUAUUUUGGUCAGCUUGCCGCAGUACAAGUGAAGCAUCCUUCCAUAAAUAUAUGGAUUUGAUACAGCAACAAAGCAAAGAAUGCCAUGAAUGGUUGUUACAAACAAAUUGGUCAAGUUGGGCUCUAUUUUCAAUUCCUAAAUGGGUUAAGUGCACCAGUGUAACACUAUCGAUUACUGACAAACUUCACACUCGCUUACGUCAAUAUUUGGAGAUGAGUAUUGCCAGAAGAUUUACAGGAAUUGCACGCUUGACAGCUGAUUUGUUUGAACGAAGAAGAAUGGCAGUGUGGAAUUGGUAUAGAGAGAAAGUAACGCCGACAGUUCGGGAAGUCAUUCAUGACCGUACAAUUGAUGGUCAGCGCUUUGCAAUGGUUGAGCAAAAUGGCACAACCCUCAAACUAACUGAUACUAUAUCCAUGUUUUAUGACCUCGACAUGGAAGCAAUGUCGUGCAGUUGUGGGUUGUGGCAGAUAUCCGGAAUUCCAUGUGCGCAUGCAUGUAGGGCAAUACAACUGAACAUGGGAAAUGUUGAGGAGUACGUGGAUAAUAUGAUGUCUGUCCAGAACUAUUGUUCAACGUAUGCCCCCGGCAUGGCGCAAUUGCCUAAAGAACAUGAUUGGAAGUCGGACGCAGGUAACAUAAUACUUCCUCCGAUGAUCCAUAGUCCGAAGGCUGUUUCAGCGAAGGGCAGCAACGAGAUUGUGCCGAAUACAAGUCUGCAAAGCAUAGCAAAUUACUCACAUUCUGCCACAAAUAACCAGCAGGUGCAUAUUGUCCUUGAAGUAUAAGUGUGCUUGUAUUGCAAUACAUGUUCCCAAGUUUAAUUUAGGCACAAAAGUUGAACUACGUUCUUACUUGUUGCAGUAUACGCAACAAGAAACUGUUACUCGGUCUGUUGAACAAAGGGAUAGCAUGCAGAUGAUAUCCACGUCCAGCGAUGGUAGUAUAAGUAAGUUUUAAUUUUCUAAUUGCUGAAUAUGCAUUAUUAUUAUACAGGGAUUCAUUUAUAUCCUUGUGCUGGCUUGUUGGUCUUUCCCCAGUUUAUUUUGUUUUACAAGUAACGAUGUUGCAUGCAUGCUUGAACGUAAUGUUGUUGGCUAUUAUGUCGAUUUUUUCCACUAUGAUUGUGCACUGUAACAAUUGGGACUUCUGAGGAAUAUCUAAGUUCUCUCCAUAAGUAAUACAAUUGGAUGGAAUUACUUUGUAAGAAUAGCGUAAUUUGUUAAAAAGUAUUGUUGGUUCAUCAAUUAAUGACAAAGCCCACUUUGUUGCGGGGAUGAGCGAACAUAUUUGUAAGUUAUUUAUUUUCCCUUUCAUAGCUAUCUUAUUUAUCUUCAAGAAAAAGAGACUGAAAGCCUUGUUUUUGUGUGUGUUAUUAUGCAGGCCUGUGAUAACAAUUUGGAUCGGCUGGAUGAAAUCUACAUCGGCCUUUUGCAGUUCAACUCUUUAUGUUUCAUUAUAAUGUUUUGUUAUAUAUGUAAGAUCUAUAAAUUCCCUUUUGUUGAUCUUCGGAUGGAGGAAGCUUUUGAUUCUUUCCUCAAAUGACUGUCUCUUUGGUUUGUUAUAUAUGUAGCAUCUUUAAAUGGCCUUCCGUUUGUCUUCGGAUAGAGGAAGCUUUUGAUUCUUUCCUCAAAUGGCCUUUUGUUUGUCUUCGGAUGGAGGAAGAUUGUGAUUAUUUCGUAGAAUGACUAUCUCUUAAAUUAACUUUUGAUAUCUACCACCAUGGUCAUCCAGUUUGCUCUUACUGCAGUGUGCAUUAACAACCUAUAAACUAACUUUGUCUGUGAACUGCAUGCUUCAUCUUCGAUAUUUUUUGGUGUUAUUACUAAAUAAUGCAAUCCAUUGCUGACAAGAGGUAAUUUAUUACCUUUUUAUACGGCAAUGUUAUUAACAUCCUCCUAUGGCCUUUUACUUCAAUUACCAUUUCCGUUUAAACCAUGUAUUUAUUUAACAUUGACGUAGUAUUUUGCAUUAUACAAGUUCCCAACAUUAUAAUGUAUGCGAAAUGAAAUUAAAUAACAAGAACCCAGUAACAAGUCGCACUUGUUGUCUUGAAGUAUAAUGAGAUGGAAUCAUGUUUGAAGUCGCUAUAAGCAUUUUACCAUCUUUCAAUGUAUAAUACAGGCAGGAGCUUCUUGAAAUAGCAUUCAUCAUGACCAUAACAAAGGCCGACAAGGGCACAACUACAUAAUAUUCAAUAAUCCAACAGCCUACAAAAAUAUCACUUGAACUGUGAUUCAAAAGUUCCCAGUUGUCAGUUGUAUAAAAUAAGAAAGAGAUUCCAUGGAAUCCGUUGAGCUCUUAUGCUAUCUUUUAAACAGAAAUGAAGCUUAUCUUUUAUGUUUGCUAAUGGAAGUAGGAAAUAAUAAAUUCUGCUUGUGUCUCCUUUGGGCAACAUUUGAUUAUGGAGAUUGUCAGCAGUUUGAUGCCGGCAACUCCCGAGUGCAAUACCAUUUCUAUUCCCUACUUUUAGUAAUAUCAAGAUUUAAGCAUCUACUGGUUCUCCAUGUAUAAGUGAAAAAAAAAAAUUGAAUUAAAGUGGAAGAGGUGACCACUGAUAAUUUAUAAAAUACAUGCUGCUGCUAUAACUAAUAAAAUACCAAUUACGUGAAAAAGUCUAUUCAACAAGUAAAAUUGGUAUGUACUCUAUGGCCCAACUCCUUGAGCUCCAUUAUUUAUAAUUGGACUAAAUAACAAUCUUCACUAAAUUCAAUCUUCACGAUACCAAACAUCAUGGGAAUGCUUCUCACAGUUAGUUAAAUAGUUGCUAACGUGCAACUUCUGAAGGAAUCUUCAAGAACGUCUCCAUUCAGAUGAUGACCUGCCAGGGAAAUUACAACGAAAGUUUAAAUGAGGGCAGCUAGGAGGGAAAGAGCUCAAACAAAAUUCUUUUUUUCUUUUUUUUUCGUGGGAAGGAUUUUACUGAAAAAUAAUGCAGCAACACCAUUACAUGAUUAACUAUAAAAACUAUCUUAUUCAUCUGUUUCUCCUCUGCUCUCCAUUUUCGAGCUGGAACAAUCUCAUAAAUCUCCUUGACAGCCUGCCAACCAUUCAGAAACAAAAAAUUUUGAAAUGAGACAGCAUUCAUCUAAUCAGCAGAGGCAACGCCAUUUAUUAGAAUAAAGAAAAAUUUGCAUUCAUCGGUGAUUAAUAGCGCCAAUAACCAAUGAUGAAGAAUUUUCAAUUAAAUCGGAGGCUCCUUCCAACUGAAAUUUGUUUACAUUAAGCUUAACUAAUAUGAUUACAAACUUGAUUUCUACAUAGAUUUUAGAUAGCUCUCCGUUGAUUCUAAGGUAGCUUGCCAUUAAUUUCGGUGAAGAUUUCUUAAUAAUCUUGGGAAUCCAGAUUGUAUUUCGAGAAUUUAUCAAACUUUUUACUUUGCUAUGAAACCAUCCGAAUCUAUCUAUACAUUAAUCGAGAGGUCCCUGAAUACCAUUAACCAUUUCACAAUAAAGCUAACAAUAGGAUUAAAUAAAUUAUUGAAAUUGUUGCCAUUUCUUCUUCCAACUACUACAUGUCUUGUUGCCAGAUUUUAACAAUCCAUAAAAGAGAAACACUGUAAAUGAAUUAAGACUAUUAUGAAUAUAAUCAUAAAAACAGCUGAGAACCAUAUCAUCAUCCAAGAACAAAAUCAGAUGCCCUUUAUAAUAUGUUUACUGCUAAAUUCUUCUCAUGGGUGUUUUCCUCUGCAUGCCAUGAGAGAGGCACUCUAUUUUACAUGUUCUAAAUGCAUGCUUAAUUUAAGAACACCUGCAAACAGCCCUGUCCUUGGCUCCUUGCUACUAAUGGAGAGGGCAACACCUCACACACAAACAGUAAGAUAGACUUCGGAGACACUACAUGUUGAACAGGCAGAACUUGUCCAAACAGACUCAUGUGAUGGGAACAUUAUGAAAAAAAUGUUGAGCCAUAAGGUGACUACCUGGUAGAGCCUGACCUUCUCUUAACAGAACCCCACUGAGCAGUCCUACAAUAUAAAACAAUCAUGAACAUCAACUCAUGGCCCAUAAAGAACAUGGUCAACAUGAAAAUUUAUUCAUUUUCUGCAACAGAUAUAUAGCCUAUUAUACCAAGUAUACAAAGCAUUUCAAGGGGGUACAUUCCCAAAGCGCAUGAACAUGCUUGCUUUUAUAGCCAAGCAACUCAUUUUUUUCCUCAGCUACGUGCACCCCAUUCACAAAACUAAAUUAACAAUUCAUAACCCCAAUGUCAUCCAUAUAUAAUUGGCCACCAGCAGCAGAUAACACAAAAAACAAAACAAAAUAAAAAUAAUAACCAAGCAAGGUUAAUUGAAUCACCGAUAUGGUUACAUUUAACCAUUACAAAAAGAAAGAAAUAUGUACCUUCACAGUUGAUUGCAAGAUAAUAGCCCAAUCAUUCUACAAUAUCUUCUCCAAGGAAUUAUUUCCCUCUCGCUCGCUCCUUCAACGUAGUGCUUAUUGCAAUCAAAUUAAACAAGCAGUACUUGUUACUAAUCUCGCCUUCACUUAUUCUAACAAAUAAACACGACCGACACUCCUAAGCAAAUUACCAUUGCCAUACUGUUGCAAACAAAAAUAAACAUUUUUUUUCUUUUUAAUUACCUGCUGCCUCCGUUCCAGCGGCACAACAAUAGAUCAAGUGCACGUGAGAAAUUGACUCUGUUCUAAGGCAAAUUGAUGUGUCUAAUUGCUAAACUUCCACAACCACCCAAUAUCUUUUCCAGUUGGUUCCCGUUGUCAUGUAUCCGCCGUGAAUUUUACCUGCAUCGUUUCUGCCUUUAUCGGGAGAUACCAAAACUUUAAACUUCACAAUAGCAAUUUCUAGGGGAAAUUGAUCGUCAUUUCUGGGGGUGAAAAAGAAUUCAAUUAUCGGAUUUUCUGGGGGAGGAAACGAUUUUGAUGAUCUUAAUUCCUUAUUGGGGUGUGAAAAAUCUUUUGAUGAAGGCCUCUGGUGGACGCUUAUUUAACAUUUUUUUACCACAGUUUAAUUAUUAAAUUAUCUUUCAACAACCGGCAAUAGGCCUUUACCCAUUUUUCUUUUUCGACCGUUAGAUUCAUUCAGUUUACAUCCAACGGCAAUUUAGGAUGGAGACAAAAAGUGUGGUACCUUACCACAGUGGUAACAUAGGCGGACCCCACAUCCCCAUCAAAAACCUAGCUGAUGCUGAUGCUGAUGCUGAUGCUUCUGCAGAUUCUGAUUCCCCCUCCCUUUUAGCCAAGGAAGCAGAUGAUGACAGCAUCACAGUGCAGAAAAGAAAGAAAGAAAGAAUAUCAUUAUACUCCCACAUCUUCUUGAACGUUGUGCCCUCUACAUGCACAUAUGCAUGUACAUAUUAUUAUCAUAUUGUAGUAAGUAAUGUUUUAGCUUUCAACAUAAACAACAUUGUGAUUAAUCAUAAUGCCACAUUAUACAGUUCAAAUAUGAAAGGUUAUGAAAUUAACUUCUAUAUACAAAUGCGUUACAUAAAGUGCGCGACGUCGUUCCUUUUAAUAUAUAUUGUAAAUUAAUGAAUAAUCAUUCGUAAAAAAAAAAAAAGUAUUGUCCGUUAGUGAAUUAUAUAUACAAGCAGAGCCUCUACAAAUUAACAGGGUGGGACUAUAUAAAAUUUAUUAAUUAAAAGAGAAAUUAAAUAAUCAAUAAUUUAUUAAUUUAUUAGUUUACAGAAUUAUUUAUAAUUCAAUUAACAUACAUCAACAAUACUUCAUAAUUUCUUAUUACAAUUUGAAAAGUCAACCGCAGGACUUCUAGGUGUUAAGAAAAAUAAGAGAUUGAGGUCCAAUUAGAUUUAAAUUUUAAGAAAAGAACAGGUAACAAUAUAAUCAUACUUUAUGUAAAUAAGUGAUAAUAGAGUCAUAUUUUAUUCAAUUGAUGGCGAUUUUAUAGCAUGAUUACCUAAAUUUUGACGAAAUAAAUGAACAUUUGUUUGUACCUUGCAGGUAUGUGUCCGUUUAAUAAUAGUAGAAUGUACUUUUUUUCUUUUUUCCUUCUUACGACAAAAGGUUAAGUAGAUUUUGAGGUCCAGUCGUAAAGAGACAACUUGGGUACGUGUGUUUUUUGUAAUGUGUGCAAUUGCUGGCUUUUCCGAUGAUUUUGAUUUGGGAUUGCGUUGUAUAAUUUGCACAAUCAUCUCCUUCACCUUUGGAUUCUGUAUCUCUCUAUUUUGUGCUCUUUCUCUCUGAAUGGUAGCCACAUAUACGACUCUCUUUUCCCUGAAUACAUGAAAUAGGCAUUAGUUAUUUUACAUGAUCAUGUAAGUUACAUAAUUCUUUUAUAGUUAUUAAAUAAAAAUUUAAAAAAUAUAAAAAUAAUAUUAUUUUAUUAUUUUAUAUUUUCACAACUGUUGAAUUUUCAUCAAACGAUUAUGAAAAAAUCAUAUAUUUUAUAUGAUUACCCUUUUUUUAUGAUAACAAUCUCUCGUAAAAUAAUUGAUCACCCUUUUUUUUUAUGAAAAAUUGAUAUCCUUGCUUACACACAUGACAUAUUCUCCUUGGAAGUAAAGAAAAAAUUUCCAUUAUUCUGCAUUGUGCGUCACAGUCCUGACAGCGUUUUAGGCUCUGUAAAUAGCAAGAAAAUAACUUGUUUUCUUAUUUCCUUUUACUAAUUGACAAAAUGAUGAGAAAAAAAAAUGAAAAAUAAGGAAAAAAAAGUUUCUAUUAUAACAAGAAAAUAAAGAUUAAAGUAAAAUACCAUGAUACGUAGAAUUCUCUAAAACGAUAUCUAAAUUGAAAAGUGUAAUAAAUAAUUCGGGGAAGCUUGAAAAAUGUAACAACAAAAUUUGUGACAAAUAAGAAUAAAAAUAAAAGCUUAUUGGAUGGAGCCAAUAAAGUUUAGAAAGUUUUUAUUUCGCUUAAGUUUAUAAUUUAGAGUCACAAGCAACAAGUUCGUAAACAUCAUGAAUUUUUUUAGGAUUGCAAUAAAAAUUGUGAUUGAUAACAACAAAUUUACAAUUAAUAAUUGAUAACAGACAAUGGUUACGUGGGUAUUUUCCAAUUUACGGAGCCUCAAGGGCCAAGGUUGACCUAAUAUUGCCAUAUAAAAAUAUUUUUUUAAAAGAAAAUAAAAUAUAUGAUCUAAAAGAAUGUGUACCAUGAUAUAAUUGAUAAAAUUUUCAUUCUUUCAAGUUCUAAGAGAGUCUAAGAGAAACGUGAAAGGCUUAAAGUGCAUAAUAAUAAUAAUAAAAGGAGAAAUUUUAGAAUACUUCAGAUAUAUUACAACCACCACUUUAAUACAACCACUAUAUUACAACCAAUAUUACAACCACAUAUAUCAUGUCAUUAUUUGUUUGUUGUAUGGCUGACAUGGUACAUCAGAUAUAUUUUAAAAUUUCUCUAAUAAAAGAGACAUGUGAAAGCGAGAGCAAUAAAAAAAAUAAAAUAAAACCUCUAAAUCGGAAACUUUUAAAGAAUAGUGAUGGUUGUCGAAGCCAACAAAAAUAAAUACCUACUCUAAAUAAAUUGUGUAUAGUGAUUGAGCAGGAUCGUGUCCACAUAGAUAGGUAAUUAUUUAAAUCUUUUUAAAACGUAAAACAUAAAAUGAGGGUUUUGUUGACAAUAAUAAAAAUCAAAUUAAAAUAACAAGAAUGCAAAUUAAAGUUAUAAUUCAAAUUAGAGAAAGCUCUGGUUGAAAGAAUUAACUCAGCUUGAUUCGACUACUGAUCAUUGAUUCAAAUAUAAAUUAUUACUACUUAUGAAUAGAUCGGUUAUAGCUACUGAGACCCUCUAAUAGCCAAUCUCUCUUUAACUAGUUGAUAACCAAGGUACGACCGUUGGUUAUUUCCAUAAUCAAUAGACAACCCUAGAUACAAUCAUAGGAUUUUAUCAAUUGACAGCCUGAAAAACCAGACAGACCCAAAUCCUAAUUAACAAACGCAUACGAUGGUUCAUUUAAAUUAGAUUGUUUAUUCUCAUAACACAACUCACUGCUAUGUUAUUUGUCACAAACAUUAAAAUCUUCAUACGAUGAAUCUUUUAAUUGACAAUAGAUUAAGUUGAUAAUUAAAUAGUGGCCAGUUAUCUAAUUAACAAACAUAAUCAUGAAAAUAAUUCAGAGAAUAAACAAAUACCCAAAAAGUAAUAAAACAAUUAAAGCAUAAGAAAGAUCUCACAGUAGUGAUGAAUCCAAACUUCAUUAACCUUCAACCAGAAUAAUAGAUUUAGUUCUUUAUAGAGAGCAUAGAAAAAUUUAGAUAUAAGGUUUCUUUCUUUUCUCCAAUCCUUUUUUUUUUCACAAUAGAUUCCUCCCUUAAAUACUCUCUCUCUCUUCUCCUCUAGAGUUCUAUUUAAAAUAAAAUACUAAUAUCUUAAAUAUUAAAUUCGUAAUUACAAAAAUAACCAAAAAUACAAAACACGUUAAACUAAAAACUGCAGGUCCGUAGUUGACAGCACGCGCCCACGCCUUAUCAAUAAAGUUCUUCUGACACUCAUUAUUUCUCCAAGAGAACAAUCAUCCUUAAACAUCAUAUUGUAGCUCAAUUUUAGCACCAAUCAAUAGAAUUGCACCUACAAAAGUAAAACACAAGUAAAUCACUAUUAUUAAGUGCAAAACAUCGAUAUUAAAGGAAGCAAACAAUGCAAAACUAGUGCAUAAAUUGCACUCUAACAAAUUCCCCCACACCAAGAUGAUGCUUGUCCUCAAGCAUAUAACUCAAGACUAAUCCCAAAUCUCCGCUCAAUUCUCAUCUCAACUCAUCCAAAAACAAUUUUAAGCAAGCAUACCUCAAGAAAUUAAGUCGAUCAUCAUUCGAGAGACAAGGAUUUUAAAGCAUAGAAUCUCAUAAGAUAGAAUAAGAACAUUCAACCACCAAGAAGAUCCAUUCAAAAUUCAAGUGCAAUAAGAUUUAAUAGCCCUCUCAUUGACUUCACUCCAUUCACUCAAAGUGUUUAGGGUAUCAUUUAUGCACUCAAAUCAAAUCAAAGAAUGCUAUUACCAUAAGUUUGCUCAUAUAUCACAUCUCAAUCCACAAAACAUGAAUAAAAUGCAAAAAUCUAAGGGUUUUAAAAAGGUUGUAAUGUGGUUAAAUAGGUUAACUGAAAAAAGAAAGGUCUACGAAAGAAAAAGAUAUCAAAAUGAGAAGAAUGAACUCAUUGAAUGAACUUAUAAUAUCAAAAUGCUUAUUUCUACUUAAGUCACCAAGAAUGUAAACUUUUUUUUUUCUUUUUUCGAUUUUUUUCUUUUUUUUCUUUUUCUUUUUUUUUUUAAUCAAAAGAAAAGAAACGAACCUUGCACAAUUUAAUUCAAGCAUAAUGUUUGUUGAUCUAAUUGAGAAACUUUAAUACAAGGUAGAAAAAGCAACAAAAUAUAUACAAAAUAUAUCCGUACAAUGAGUCCAAAAAUCUCCUUAAAUUGAGGCUCAAAAAGAAGAAAAAUUGUUAAGUAGACGGAGAGAAUUAGAUGGGUAAUGGUUAAGACUCAAACAAAGAUAGCAAAUAAAAGUCUUCGGGUAGAGAAAAAAAAAAAAGCGAGAAACAAAUGUUUACAUAGAAACAAAUGGCGCGCAGUCGAUUUGUCGAUCUAGGACCACUCUCGUAUACUUGGUGAGAUUCGGCUUCACCAAAUUUGUAGCCUAUAUUUUACUUUAAUGAGAAAAUCAAGUAAUGUUUGAACAUAUAAUUUUCUUUUUUCUAUAUACUUUCUUAAAAUGUAUGGAGUGGGUAAAGUACAAAUUGAUUUUUUAGCCCUUUGACUCCUCCAAAAUUUGAACUCAAUUUAAUGUCAAUUAAAAUAAUGCUACUUGAAAAUCAUUCAACCAAAUAUCGUAAAAACUAUAAUUUUACGAAGUGAAAGUUUCACUGAUUAUUGAAUUAUAGAACAUGCUAUCAUUUCCUAGUUAGAAUUUGUUUAAUUCUAUUAAUUUACAAUCAUUCUUUAUUUUAUUCAAUUAAUUAAAGUGAAUUUGUUUUGUAUAAGUUCUAUAUAUGUAAAAUUUUAAAAUUCAGUGUUGAACUUAAUUGUACUAAACCUUUUAUAAUUUUUUAUCACACCUGCAUGUUUAACAGUCUAGUAUUAAUAUUGAUAGCACAUAAUAUAUAGGAUUAAGAGACACUGAUUUCGGGUGCCACAAGAUUUUUAGGAUUGCAUGCACAAGGGCUUACAAGAUUUUUAGGAUUGCAUGUAGGGGUGGGUGUGGUUCGGUUCGGUUCGAUUUUUAAUUAAAUUUUUCAUAAUCGUUCGAUUACAAUUAUUUUAAAAUCAUAAUCGCGAUUAAUCAAAUUACCGAAAUGAUUAAAUACUCGAUUAAUCAAAAUAAUUCGAUUCGAUUCGGUUCGAUUAUUUUAAUUAUGAGCUUAUUGGAUCUAUUUUGAGUUUUUUUAAAUUUAAAACCUUAAAUAAAUAAAUCUACCACAAACAUAAAAAAAUUAACAAACGAUUUGUUUCUUAGUUAAAAGUUUUUAAUCUUUUACUGCUUUUAUUAUUAUCCCCUUUUUCGUGAUUGUUGGUACAUGUGUCAAAUCAUAGGUGGAAGCUUCUACAAAAUAAAAAUUAACCAAAAAAUCAAUUAAGAUUAUAGUUUAAUUAAGGAUCCAUACAGAGUUAGUUAGCAGAACCAGCUGGAAAAUGUUUUUGUCUGAACCUGUUGCAGAAAAUUAAUAGUUGCUAGCGUUUUUUAUUAAUUAAUUUAGUUAUGAAUAUACAAACUUAAAAAGUCAUGAAUGAGACGUGUUUGAACUUGCUUUAGUUUUCAUCAGUAGUAAAAAUAGCACCAGUAAUUCACAGCACCAGCAUUUAGUUAUGAACUUGCUUUACGUGCUCUGGAAAAUAUCAGUCAUUUUACAAAUGAAAAAGAAAUCAAGAUCUCAUGUUUCACCAUGCUUGGGUUGGUAUCAAACAUAGCAGCACCAAAAAAUCAAACCCACUGAAGGAGAAUUACCAAAUACAAGGUCAGGAUUCCACCAUAUUGGCAAAAUUGACAUUUUGACCGUCAUUAGUAGCAUUAAUUGUCUUGUAGCGUACAGAGCCACACAAAACAUUAAGACUAAAGAAAUCAAAGAUGAAAACAAACACCAUAUCACAUCAAACAUUUUCAAACACGGCUUUAAGAUAUAAAAAUCAUGAUCAAUCUCAACAGUAUCCAGUUUGCGAUUUGGGAAAAGAAACUGAAAAAACCAAUCAUUCAAUCAUCUUUCAGCCAAAGAAACAAACCAUAUCUCACCCAAAUGGGGGAAAAGAAAAAACAAAAGAAUGAAUCAUAAAUCACAAAUCAAUUUUGGUAUACAAAUUAGUAGUCAUGGUUAUAACUAAAUGCAGCAUCUCAAGUGAACGAACCUCAACAAAUAAUGAAACGAAACACGAAACAAUCAGCAGUAGCUCAAGUUAUUGGUUUUUAUUCUCUGCAAAAACAGAACAAACCAGAGAAAUGAGAGACAAAAACAGCAGCGAUAUUUACAUAACUCAAGCACAUUAACAAAAACAUGGGAACGAGGAAAAAGAAAUGAACUUUAAACCAAAUUCAUAAAACCGAAACGAAAAAUGGAACCUUUUUCGUUCGAUUUUUUGUUCUGCUGAGAGAUUUUGUGGACAAAAACAAAAGAACCCAGAAAUGCUAAAGAGGAAGAGAGAGAAAUCAAUACGUGAUCGUAGUGUUAAAAAAAAAAAAAACCUCACAACAGUAGUCAGAUGGCAGCAGGGGAGCACCGUGACAGCAGCAACAAUUGAUAGUAGGUGACAGCGGCAAGUGACAGUGGCAGCAGCAGCAGAUGACAGCGGCUACAGCAGGUGGUAGCGGCGGCGGAGAGUCGUGAAGGACAAGCAGCAGCAGCAGCGGGGACGAGAUUCCAGCGGCUGAAGGUGCUGCGGCUUCGGUUUUCGGCUGAAGAUCAGAAGAAAUGAAGAAUGUGUUUAGUUUAGACUUGAGGGAUUGUUAUUUGACAUUCGGUUUUUUUUAUAUUCGGUUCGGGUUUUCAGUUUUUUUUAACCAAAAACCGAACCGACUGAUUUUACUACUUUUAUUAUAUUACUCAUUCAAUUUUUUGGAUAUAAAAAAACCGCAUAAAUGCUGUAGAAAACUUAAAUUUUAUAGUACUUAGUUAGGUGCAUAUAUAUAUAUCUAUAGGGCUACUAUAGCCAAAGAAACUUACAUGCUCUAGAAAACUUAAAUUUUCAUUGAUGCCACAUAACAUCAAAAGACUUUUCCCAGUAACAUUCGUAAAAGCUAAAAAUGUCUGAUUCGGUAGAGUAAACACCUCUAUGAGUGUAUUUAGGAGGAAUAUAUCAAUAUAACCUCCACAUUUGAAAAUAACCAACACUCUUUCAGUAUCUCUCUAUAUAUAUAUAAUCAGCUUCAGGUCUGGAAUUUAAAUUUGAAAAGAGUCUACAAUGUUGUAAAUUGCAUUUAUCAUUGUUUUACAAUGGUAUAAAUUUAAUUAUAAAUGACUGUCAAAAAUUUAAUAGAUGGUUAUUAUAUAUGAUUAUAAUUAGAACAUUAAAAUUCAAGUCGACUCAUUUAUCUUUACGUUGAUUUUAUUCUUUGUGGUUAUACUUAGAAUAUUAAACAAUUAAGUCGACUGAUUUAUCUUUAUGUUGACCAUUACAGGCCUCUUAAAUAUUUUAUUUACCUAUAUUUUCUUUGAUUUGUUAUUUUGAGUUGUAUGAAAUGUAGCUUUACUCCUGUUUUCUUUACUUUACUUUGGUUUUCUUUAUUGUUGAUAGGAAUUUUCUUGUUAAAACUAUAAGAAUCAUUGAAAUUUCAAAUUCAUACUACAACCAUGAUGAUUUAAUAAAACCUUCAAACUAAAUCCACAUAUUCCAUGAGUAAGAACCCUGAGAUCACAUUUGUUCAAAUUUAUGCUUUAAGUAAAAUAAAAGUAUAAAUGAGAAUUUUAAAGAAGAAAUUUAGUUAUAAAUAAUUGUAAAAUAAUUAAUUGUUCGGCCUUUAUUUUAUAGAUCCCACUGUUGGGACUCCAUGUGAUCUGCUAACUGGCAGGCCUUUUGUGGUUAGGCGAACCACGGUAUGCCUGCCUCAUAUAAGUUUCCUCUCUUCUCAUAGAUAUAACUAGUGCUAUGUCAUGUCCAACAAGGGCUCUUCGAAACUUUUUAUGUGAAUUUUAAACAUUACCCCAUUACGCUUUUGAAACACCAAAACUACCUCUCUUAAAUUUUAAAAAUAUAAAAAAAAAAUACAUAUUAAAAGAAUGUUUUAUGUCUUUAGCUUAACAGUUAGCACGCGUAUUGUACUCUUGACAUUUUUCUUCUGUAAAUCUUCACUUCUUUUUUCUUUGAUUCUUCACACUCCACUGCUCUUUUAUCUCUAAAAAAUUAAAUUGUCCGUAGAAGCUUACUAUUUAAUUUACUGAUCUAAUUAUUUAGCUCUAAAUAUUUAGAUAUGUUUUCUUAAUUAAUUAUCACUUCUUUAAUUUAUUUGGUGAUUUCUCUUAGAUGAAAGAUUUAAGGUUAUGUCCUAGGAAAAUAUUAAUUCUCAUAUUAUAGUGUUGAUAAUGAGGUUAUCCUUGAAUUUUUAACACAUGAAAAGAUAUCGAGGUACCUAUAAAUUCAUUGAAGGAAAUAUUUUAAUAAAUUUAGAUUUUGGUACAUAUUAUUUGUUGAAUUUUUUUUCUUUCCAAAUUGAAAGGAACCCUUAUGAUAUUCAAUUCGUGAUAGUGCCACUAAAUGUGAAGUGUCGAACUAGAUCAUAUUUCUCCCUUAUGCAAACUCCAUCGUUUAUUUAUAUUUCAAUUUUGUGGCCUAUUUUCGAGUUUUCUAGUUUCACAGAGGGCAUCUUGGAUUUCUCUACGCGGUCUAUAGUCUCUAGUCCAAAUGAAGAAAUCGAAUUCACCAUGUACAUUAGUUUUUUUUUUUUUUUGCCCCGGGGGGGGGGGGGGGUGGGGGUGGUGGAAUUUUUUUAUUGGCACAGGAAGAAAGCUCUUCGGCACUACUCGGACGAAGAAUAUGAGCAACACAUGGUCCAAUUCGCAUUGUAUGGAAGUAAAACCGAAGCAUUAGACCAAAAGCAAACCUUAUUCAUAUUUUUAGUUACUGAUAACAAUUUUUUUCCCCUCUUAUUUAUCAUCUUAAUUAAGAAAUAUAGUAAUUCGCUAACUUUUUGGGAAAUUAAAAAGGAUGGCAAUAUACAAUAUUCUUGUGUUGAUGACCUUAAAAGCUAAUCCCCUUGAAACAGGAAAACUGGUAUCGUUUUUCAAAGCACAUAAAUGAUAUAUCCCAGCUUUCAAUGUGAUCGAAAGAUUUCAUAGCCACACUCAAAAUUAAUAAAUGAUCCCUAAGAAUUACGAAAAUGAUAUCAAUGAAAUUACAAACUCUUCAAGAGUUUAUAGAACAUUAAUUGAUCCAAAUCCAAUACAAACUGCUUACUAGUACAGCUUCAAGAGAGCCAUUUAUUUUUUCAGUAGGCAAAUUAAACAACUGCAGCAGUCACUAGCGAGCUAGUAUAGACCAAUUGUUCAUCUACCAACCAAUUGUGAAAUUGUUACAUCAUUACUUGAACAAAUUUCCAAUCCAAUCGUGGCUUUCCUUUGUUCAUCUUCGUAAGCUUGCUUUGAGAAAGUUGCAGGCUUCUUUGGAGUCACUAUAUCAGCCGUGCUCUCAUUUUCGAGCAUCGAAGAAACUUCCAGCAUAGAAGGUCUAUCGUCUGGGUUCUCCUGAACACACAACAGAGCUAUUUGCAGACAUGUUAGCAAUUUCCACGAGGAAUGCGUAUCAUCUAGUGAUGUAUCCAUUAACCCCAUGCCUUUCCCAUCUUUCCACAGCUCAUAAGCCUGUAAAUAUCGAAUAUUUUAUUGAGUUACAUUCAAUUAAUUAGCACUAUAAAGUUUUGAUCCAGUGUGCAUUAUAAAGGGGGUUAUGAAGAAACUUACAUACUGUACAAGGCUUAAAUUUUCAUUCUGACCAGAUUGAACGAACAAUCUUCUUCCACUUAUAAUUUGCAAAAGUAAAACCCCAAAACUGUAGACAUCAGAUUUGGUGGAGUAGAUGCCUCUCGUCACAUACUCAGGAGGGAUAUAGCCACUGUUGUACCAAGUAAUUACAAAUAUCAGUGAAAUUGUUUGACCUAAAAGGUUAAGCUGAUUGGUAAAGGCUCAAUAAUAGUAUUAAAGACAAGCCGAAAAAUAGACGUAUGUACACUUACUGUGUUCCAACAAUUCGACUAGUGUUUGCUUCAAGGUCGUCUUUCACAAAAAUUCUAGCUAAGCCAAAAUCUGAUAUUUUAGGCUUCAUAUUUUCAUCCAAUAAAACAUUACUAGCUUUCAAGUCUCGAUGAAUAAUUGUUAAUCUAGAAUAUUCUUGAAGAUAAAGAAGCCCUUGAGUUAUUCCUUGAAUGAUAUGAAUGCGUUUUUUCCAAUCCAAAAUAAACCUUCGGAUGGGAUCUACAUCAAAUAUAAGUAUAGUUGGACGGUCAGUAGCACUAGCAUUUGGAGAUGAGAAAUCAAAUGGAGGCACAUAAAUUAAGAAUUAAGCAGAAGCACAUACCAAAAAGGAAAUAGUCCAAGCUUCGUUUUGGCAUGUACUCGUAGAUCAGCAUUUGUUCUUCUCUGUCAAUGCAAAAACCUAAAACCCUAAUAAGAUUUACAUGUUGGAGUUUUGCAGUAAGCAUAACCUCAUUUUUGAACUCCUCAAAUCCUUGUUUGGAUGUCUUUGAGAGUUUCUUUACUGCUAUUACCUGUCCAUCAGGCAAUACACCCUGCAAACACCCCCAAAACAUUAAAGAGGAAAAAAAAAUGCAAUGUUCAUAUACAUAUGUGUGUGUGUAUUUCGCUAAUUAGUUAAUAAGAUGAGAGAUAGCCAAGCUAUCGAUAUAUAACCUUGUAAACAGGGCCAUAUCCACCCUCCCCGAGCUUAUUUUCAAUUGAAAAUCUAUCCGUGGCCACCUCAAUAUCAGCCAAGCUAUAUUCUCUAAGAUCAGGAUCAUUGCUGUUAAAAUCUCCAGCAUGUGCUUGACUGUUUGCUCCGUCCUUUGAUGACUUGGCUGAGUCAAUUACUAUCCCAAUUAAUAUCAACCAAGGAAAAAAAAAAAAGAAAAAAGCUAAUUUAAGUAAAUUGCCCACUUCUUCAACUGCGCUAAAUAGAAUAGAAGUAAAAAUAAUCCUAAACCCGUGUAGAAAAAGUUACCUUUUAAUUUGAGGUUUUUCAUCCAGCAGUAGUAAUAUAGCCAAAAACCUAGUAGAAGAAUACAAGCUGCAGUUGUAGGCAAAACAACUACCCAUAAUAGUCGCUUAUUUUGACCAUUCUUGUCAUCCUCUUCAGCUGAAAAGUCAAAUCACUUUGCGUUGGUUAACCAUUGAUGCUGAAUAAAGAUCUUAAUUCAAGUCAUUAUCCAGAAAAGUGGUCAAACGGAUUGCAGUGAGUGCGGAAUUCUAUUUGCUUACCUGCAGCUUGAGAAAGCAUCCAAUCAUGAUCAUAGGCAACUUUCCACACAAAGUAACCACGUAACUUCUUCUCCUUAGCAUAUGCAACCUUCAUUCUAACGGCCUCGACAUCAUCAAAACCAAACCAAAUCUUCCCAAUCGAGCAGUAAUUCAUCACAUAAGUUGAAUUGUACAUAACUGGAACAUUAGGACCAUAGCUCUUGAUGUAAUUCUUGAUUUCCUUAUAAGUCACAAAGCCGAUAUCACUCAAAGCUGGUCCUGUUGCUGCUGCACCAAUACCAUUGUCCUCAGGUUUCACAAGCGUCCAUGCAUAGCCAUAGCAAGGCAAACCCAAAACCAACUUGUCAGCCGAUAAUCCUUCAUCGGUCCAUGCCGUGAUUCCGUAUUCAGUAUUAAAGACACUAUUUGGAUCAUACAGAGCCGCAGGAGCACUAGUAUGAUUUGUCCACAUAGGGCGUGAGUAUUCAGCAGUGAUAACAUGAACCCAAUUCAAGUAUUGUCUUAUCGAGUCGAUUGAAUAAGCUCCUAUUGUUGAGUAUGGUGAAUAAGCGACCCUUGCCGUCAAAAUCAACUGUGAUUGGCUCGAGUUAUUUCUUGCUUCUAAAGCUACGGCAGCUCGCCACUCUUUAAAGAGAAUACCAAUAUUGUAAUUAUCCCAACUUGUGUUUGCCCAAGACCAUGAUAAAUCUAAACCUUGAAAGCCAUAAAGUCUUGCUAUUUUUAUUGAGGAGUCAAUGAAGGAUUUCCUGGAAGAAGGAUUGCUGGCCAUGGAAGAAUAAGUUGAAUAGUUUGGAUUCUUUCCUCCUCCGAUGGAAAGAAGUGUAGUGAUUGAUGGGUUCUUUUUUUUUACAGCGUCUGUGAAGUUGGAGAAUUGUUUUUCAUCAGAAGGUGAGAAAGAGAGCUCGUAGGAAGUUGAGUUGACAUCAGCAAAACCACACAUAAGGUGAGUGAAGAGAGCAGAAUUUACAUCUGAAAUGAAGAACUCAUCGCCUGAAUCCCAGUAACCAGCUCUGAUUAAAGUUUGUGCUCUUGUAGGAAGCGAUUCUGAAAAUAUAAAAAUGUGGAGGACAAGAAUGAUAAUUUUGGAUGCCAUUGUGGGAACCUGGCUGCUGGAGGCAUACCUAGUAUGUCAUUAUAUAUGUAAUAUCCUAGGCAAAUCCCACAUCGGCAAAAUAUGGGUGAGAUGAUGGGUUUAUAAGGGGUGAUUCACACUUUAAUUGGCAAGACGCGUUUUGGGGGGUAUGGGCACCCAGAAACAAAACCGUAAAGCGGAUAAUAUCCUGUCAUGUUUGGGUUGGAUCAUGACACUAUGGUAUCAGAGCGGCUCCGCAUGUCCUCUUGAGCGAUGGUGGGGCAAACCUCAGCGAAUCAGAGCGGCUCCACGUGUCCUCUUGAGCGAUGGUGGGACAAACGUCCUCGCUCGUUGAGUCCCCAAGGGGGGUGAAUGUAACACCCUAGACAAAUCCCACAUCGGCAAAACACGGGAGAGAUGCUGGGUUUAUAAAGAGUGACUACACUUUAAUUGGCAAGACACGUUUUGGGGUGUAUGGAUGCCCCAGAAACAAACCUGUGCGGACCUUCUAAAGGCCCAAAGCGGAAGACACGUUUUGGAAUGUAUGGGCGCCCCAGAAACAAACCUGUGCGGGCCUUAAGAAGGCCCAAAGCGGAAGACACAUUUUAGGGUGUAUGGGCCCCCCAAAAACAAACUUGUACAUGCCUUCUUAAGGUGCAAAGCGGACAAUAUCUUACUAGGUUUAGGUUAGGUCAUGACAUUAUUACAUUAUGGUAUCAAAGCGGCUCUGCAUGUCCUCUUGAGCGAUGGUGAGGCAAACCUCAGCGAGGAAGCUGAGUCCCUAAGGGGGUGUAUGUAACACCCUAGGCAAAUCCCACAGGGGGUGUAUGUAACACAUUAGGCAAAUCCCACAUCGACAAAGCACGGGAGAGAUGUUAGGUUUAUAAGGAGUGAUCCACACCUUAAUUGGCAAGACAUGUUUUGAGGUGUAUGAGCGCCUCAGGAACAAAACCGUGCGGGUCUUAUUAAGGCUCAAAACGGACAAUAUCUUGUCCAGUCUGAGUUGAGUCAUGACAAUAAAUAUGUACACACACAAAAUAUAAUGAAGAAAUUAUCUUAUACCGAUUGAGAUUAGUUAUUGCACUAAUAAUACAAACUUGAGUCAACUUUCAACUUAUGAGCUUAGUCCAUAAGUUUUUAUACGAUAUCAAAAUCAAGUUACGGAUGAGGGACCCUAUAAUACCUUCCAACCUAACUUAAUAAUUAAUCUUAGCCAAUGUGACAUACUUUUUCUAUCACUUUAUCACGUCCAAGUUGAUCUUUUAGCUUUGUCUUUUUUUCAUGAUAAUAAGUGAUAAGAUUGAAGUUCUUAAAUUAAGCUAUGACUUUUUACCUCCGCUUAGCUUGACUUCUGAAGUUGGAGACUCGUUCUUUUGUAUUGAGUUUGUUGGUAUUUAAAUGAACUCGGAGUCUUCCACGUGUUUCUGAAGCAAAGUCAUUAUUCCUCUAUGACUCCAUCCAUGCAGUUGGAAGGCAAAAUCUUGUGAAAAUAUUUUCUAAGUUGAUUCAGUCCAUGAUCAAUGUGCACAAAACGCAAAAUCUUGCGAAAAUCAAACCCGUCCUCACUUAUGAGCUCGAUUUCUAGCUUAAACUCCUCCUUACUCAUGACAUACUAUAUAAAAUAUCGAGUUGAACUCACUUUAUUAAAUUACAGCUUGUUAUUGAAUUGAGUGUUGCCUUAAUUAAGCUAUCAACUUAAUAAAGUGAUUGUCAUUAAGAAAUACACUUAGGUAUCGUUUACUUUUUGGAUUGGAGUGGGAAUUCUGAUAAAUGUGAAUCCUAGGAUUAGGAGUGUGGAGUGGGAGUGGGAGUAAGUUGUUUACUUACACUGGAAUGAAAGUAUGGAAUGAAGAUUAGAAUCCAAUUUAUGUGUUUACUUUGUCUUGGAUUGGGAGUAAAUAGUUUCAAAUUACAAUUUUAUCCUUAUUUAAAGAAUUAUAGUUUUUAAUUACAAAGUUAAUAAAAAAUAUAUUUAAUGAAUAAACAUUUAUUUUAUUAUAUUUGUAAAUUUAUAAUAAUUAUUAAUAUUCUUAAUUAUGUACAUCACAUUUUUUUAUAAUUUUAAUUAUAUAAAUUAAAAAUUAUUGAUAAGGGCAAUAUAAAUUAAACAUUUUUACUAUUAACAUAGUACGCAAUUAAUAUUUUCUUAGAAUAAACUAUUUAUUAGUAUUAAUUAUUAAUAUUAAAUAAAUAUAAUACUAUUAUGUUUAAAUAAAUAUAAUCAUAUUAUAUUUUCAAAUAAAGAUGGUAUAUAGUAAUAUUAUUAAUUCUCUAUCUAUAUAAUAAUAUUAUUUUUAAGUAAUUUAAACUUAAAAUCAAACCAAAUUAUUAUUUAGUUAAAUAUAAUAUUAUUAUUUAAAUAUAAUUAGAGUAAAUUUAAUAAAAGGAGGGUAAAAAAGAAGGGUAAAUAUAAAAUGAAACAUUAUUUUAUUUUAUUUUAUUAUAGUAAAUUUAAAUAUUAUUAUAUUAAAUUUAUUAUUAUAUAAAACAAUAAUAUAAUAUUAUUUAGUACAAAAUUAAUAUUUUAUUAGAAUAUAAAUGAAGAUAGCAUAUAAUAAUAUUUAUUAAUUCUCUAUUAAUAUAAUAAUAUUAUUUUUAAGUAAUUUUAACUUAGAAUUAAUGCAAAUUAUUAUUUAGUUAAAUAUAAUAAUAUUAUUCAAAUAAAUAUAAUAUUAUUUAUUUUAUUAAAUAUUAAAUAUUAAAUUAAAUAAGAAAAAGGGUAGAAAAGGGAGAGGUGGGAGUGGAUUCCCACUCCCACUCCCCACUCCAAAAAUGGGUGAGGUCCACCAAGUGAAAUUCUCAAUCCUUUCUCAAAUUAUUGAAGUAAAUACUGGAGUGGGAGGAAUCCACACUCCUCACUCCUACUCCAGAAAGUAAACACAGCCUUAGUUACUUCCUGAUGGUAAGAUUCAAUAAUAUUGUAAUUUUUAUAAAAAAAAAUUAAGACUCAUAUACCUUUUCCUUGUGUAAUUUAAUUUCCAGUCAAGUCCACCCUCCCGUUUUAUUAUAAAAGUCUAUACGAACAUACGUUUUACUCAAUGUUUACUUAGAAACAAAUGGCGCGCGUACGAUUGCCGAUCUAGUACCACUCUCGUAUACUUGGUGGGAUUCGGUUUCACCAAAUUUGUAGCAUAUAUUUUACUUUAAUGAGAAAAUCAAAUAAUGAUUGAACAAAUAAAUUUUCUUUUCUAUAUACUUUCUUAAAAUGUAUGGAGUUGGUAAAGUGCAAAUUCAUUUUUUAGCCCUUUGACUCCUCCAAAAUCCAAACUCAAAUUAAUGGUCAGUUAAAUAAUGUUACUUGAAAAUCAUUCGGCCAAAUAUUUAAAAACUAUCAUUUCACAAAGUCAAAGUUUCACUGGUUAUUGAAUUAUAGAAUGUGCUAUCAUUUCCUAGCUAGAAUUUGUUUAAUUCUAUUAAUUUACAAUCGUUUUUCAUUUUACUUAAUUAAUUAAAGUGAAUUUAUUAUGUAUACAUUCUACGUACGUAAAAUUUUAAAAUUCAGUGUUGAAUUGAAUUGUACUAAAUUUUUUUAUAAUUUUUUGUCGGACCUACGUUUUUAACAGUUUAAUAUUAAUAUUGAUAGCACAUAAUAAACAGGAUUAAGAGAGAUUGAUUUCGAGUGCUACAAGAAUUUUAGGAUCGCAUGCACAAGGGUUUAAAAACAAAGUGUGCACUUAAUAAAAACUGUGUACAUGGUUCUAAAAGUGGCUCCAUAAUUAGUGUACAUUAACAUUCAUCUAGCUACCACUUCCGAAAAUGAUAAAUCACAAGCCGAACAUUUUUCCAAUUGUGUUGUAGAUAAUAGUUCAAUCCCAAUUUCAUCAACUUGUUUUGAGAAAGCAGGCUUCUUGGGAGUAUUUGUAUUUGUGGUUUCAUUCUUGAGCAUUGAGGAAACUUGUAACAUUGAAGGUCUAUCGUUUGGAUUCUCCUGGACACACAACAAAGCUAUUUCCAGACAUCUCAUUAAUUUACAAGGGGAAUUUGUAUCAUCUAGUGAUGAAUCCACAAACUCCACGCCUUUGCCACCUUUCCACAACUCAUAUGCCU